rnacentral:misc_RNA from 1 species
GGCAUUUCAACUAAUCUGAAGAAAAAUAAUUCACAAGAAUGGAAUAAUAAUGUUCAAUUUCUAGUUCUAAAAGAAAGUGUGGAAAUGAAAAAUUUGAGGCUUCUAGCGAAGUCACUUUGGGUCUACUGAAAAAUCUGGAUCAGUGGGCUUCUGCACUGAGCUCAAAAUAAAAGUAUGUGACCCAGAUUGCUUAUAUUUGAAACUCCUUUUGCCACCUGCAGCUUGAUUGUCUGCACAUAAAGCCUGGAAUGAUUCUGAUUGGGCUUCUCUAGGAUCCUCAGCCAUCAAUUCAGCCAUUUCCUUCAAUUUCUUGUGUCGAUGCCAUGCCGCUUGUAUGAAA